rnacentral:rRNA from 1 species
UUCCGGUUGAUCCCGCCGGAGGCGACCGCUUUGGGAGUUCGAUUAAGCCAUGCGAGUCGUGAGUCUUAGGGACUCGGCAUACUGCUCAGUAACACGUGGAUAACCUGCCCUAUCGUCUGGAAUAACCUCGGGAAACUGAGAAUAAGGCCGGAUAGUUCACAAUGCCUGGAACGGUUUGUGAAUCAAGGUAGGAUGGGUCUGCGGCGUAUCAGGUUGUAGGGGGUGUAAAGGACCCCCUASCCUUCGACGCGUACGGGUGUUGGGAGACAUAGCCCGGAGAUGGAUUCUGAGACACGAAUCCAGACCCUACGGGGUGCAGCAGGCGCGAAAACUUCACACUGCAGGAAACUGUGAUGAGGGAACUCCUAGUGCAUGCACUAUGUGUAUGUAAAUCCUACUCUUAACAAGUAGAGGGAAAGGGCUGGGAAAGACCGGUGCCAGCCGCCGCGGUAAUACCGGCAGCUCAAGUGGUCGUCGCUUUUAUUGGGCCUAAAACGUCCGUAGCCUGUUUGGUAAAUCUGUGGGUAAAUCAAUCCGCUCAACGGAUUGAAUUCUGCAGAGACUGCCAGACUAGGGACCGGGAGAGGUGUGGGGUACUCGAGGGGUAGGGGUAAAAUCCUGUCAUCCUUCGAGGACCACCAGUUGCGAAGGCGCCACACUGGAACGGAUCCGACGGUCAGGGACGAAGCCUAGGGGCACGAACCGGAUUAGAUACCCGGGUAGUCCUAGGUGUAAACGCUGUGAACUUGGUGUCGGGGGUCCGCAAGGGGUCCCCGGUGCCGGAGUGAAGAUGUUAAGUUCACUGCCUGGGGAGUACGGUCGCAGGGCCGAAACUUAAAGGAAUUGGCGGGGCAGCAC